GUGCGCUCUCCUCUUAUCCCCUCUCUGGGAGCCGCGAAGCCGGAGCAGGGCUCCUGGGGGGUGGGGGCGUGGGAAAUGUUCGCAGCUUGCCAAAGCGAGCGCAAACUCCACGGAGAUUCCGGGCUCGGAAGGCUAGCUGCUGGGUACUUCCUAGGGAGACUGCCUGGCUGGGGCGCUCAGGGUCUAGAAACUAGACUAUGGCCUGGAAGUCCAGGGUUCUAGACCGGAUUCAGUGGUCUGUUUUCCCGCGGGGACGUCCAACAGAUCCCUGCCCUCUGUGGACCUCUGUUUCCCCCAUCUGCCAGCCGAGGUCUUCCCACUGGGACGCCCACCCUGGGAACCCAGCCACCAUGUUGUGAGGAAGCACAAGCCGCACGGCGGAGGUGACAUGAGGUGACCUGGCCGGUAUCUUCAGCUCAGCUCAGCUUGGCUCUCGGGUAACAGCCGGCCUCAACCACCAGACAGUGGUGAACUGAGCCAAUUCCGGCCCCAGCCUUUGAGUCUUCCAACUGGUCCCAGAUGUGGAGCAGAGACAAGCCAUCCUCACGGUGCCCCGUCUGAAUUUCUCUCCCACAAAAACUGGAAGAUAAGAAGUGAUCAUUGGUGUUUUAAGCCACUUCGUCCAUUAAAUACAAAGGAAACACUGCAGUGGAACUGGAUGAUCAUUGAAUUGGUGAACAAUACUGACCCAGGGCGCGCUGCCUCUGGGGGGAUCAGGAUGAAGACAAGCUUCAGGUUGAAGAUUGAGCAUCAUCUCCUUAAAACGCAGGUCUGUACUUCUCAGUAUUUCAUUUGGAGGUCUUUGCAAAUCUAAAUUUGAGCGACUACACGUGUGAGAGACCCGGGAAACAGCCCUCUGGAGCACCCUGUGAUCCUCCAAAAGGGCGCCUCGAGGCCUCAGAUGCCACAAUUUCAUGAUUAGUCCCUCGUUUCAUUUCUUCCUGUCUGAUUUCUCCUUCCCCUCCAAUCCCUGCGUCCCACUUCUCCCAAACCCUCCAUUCUCUUAUGAUCCGUUCUUCCCCUCCCCUUCCUUCCUUCCUUCCUCCUUUUGAAAGUUUGGUCCUCUUGGGCAUUAGAAAGGACUGGAAUCUGGGAUCUGACUAGAGGCUGGCAAGGAAGAGGGGAGCGUGCACCUGUGGGGUCACACAGGGGUCACAUCCGCUCCUGCCUGGGAAGGCGGAACUGAGGCUUCCCUGCCCAGGGGGCUGGGGGGGCAGGCCUCCCCCCAUCCCCUCUGUUCCCAGUUCCUGGACGUGGUUGCUGUUGUUGUUCAGUUGCUGAGUCUUGUCCGACUCUUUGCAACCCCGUGGACUGCAGCCUGCCAGGCUCCCGUGUCCUUCGCUAUCUCUGCAGUUUGCUCAGAUUCAUGUCCGUUGAGUCAGUGAUGCUGUUCUAGCUGGAUGUGGUGACACCCAGCAAACACUGACAUGAUAAAAGCACCAACAGCGUCCGCUAUCCCAGCAUCAUUUCUCCAGGAUCGCUCUUUGUCGAGGAGUUCUUUAACGACCUCCGCGCGGGAAGCAUCUUUUUCUUUUUCCUAUGACCAGAGUGUACUGCAGGGUGGGUGGCCUCUGUUUCUGGAGUGGCCACCAUCCCCAGUGCUGAUCAAGAGUUUGGUUAGUCGAGGCUGAGAGCAGAGACAGUGUCUUCUUGUUCCCGAUUUGGGGUGAAAUCCUGGAACUCCUUGGCCCUGAGUGUCUGUCCCUCUGUCUGCAGCACCAACUCUCUGUACCACCAUUAAAAAAAAAAUCUCAGAGUCUUACGGAAGCAAGACCCUAACAGUGCCAGGGCAUCUGGUCCUCGGUAUUGGUCCCCCCGGCCCUCCUGAGCUGCCCGUCAGUCUCGUCCACAUGGCCCUGGAGAGGAGGGAAUUCUCUGCUGCUUUGUAUCUCAAAGCCCCCUGGGGCCCUGUCCACACAGGCACUCCCUCCCGGGGCUCUGCUGUGGGCAUCCCGGGGGCUUUGCCCCACACCAGGGCACCGAUACCCCCUUGCUUUCUCCUCCGACCCCAGCCCAGGCAGCGCCUUUCCUGGACUUUUCAGUCAUUGCCUACAGGCUUCUGUUCUUCCCAAGUGUUUAGACUUGGGGGGUUGGAAGGGGAAGUGCUCACAGACAGGUCUUAGCUUCUUCCCCUGUCACUCCUCUCUUGAGAAGAAAAGAACGCAGCAUUCAGGAUUUGCCUAAAAGAGGAAGUGGGCAAAGGGAAUAAAUAUCUCAAAAAUGUGACCCUGCUUCUGAGCACUCGUCACACACGACAGAGCCCAGCCUGCAGGAGGUGGUUGUUGAAAAACGAAUGAGUGAGAGAACGAAUGAAUGCUGGGCGCCUGGCCUAGAGCUGCAGCUUCAAAUGCACACCCCAGCCCCUGGCUGACCUGUGUCUGUGUGUCCCAGUGACCUCAUCCAAAAGGAAGGAUGGGCUUAGAUCAUCUCCUGGAUUCCUUCCAGCCCUCUAAACUCUAGAUUUGGUGUCCACAAAGGAAAAAAAAAAAAUGCCAUUGUCCCCCUGAGCUUGACCAGGGCAGAAAGUUUCCUGAGUAAUUCAGGCUCAUGCACACAGUUGCCUCCAAAUAUUUUCCCCUUCUCUCAAAUGCCAUCUCCUCGAAAUCAUCAAGACAAGCUGUUGAGAAGGCAACAUUGUAAGUUUGUUGCUUACAGUGAUGGGGAGAACCACACCCAGAGCAGGAGGACGAGUUGUGGGAUUUACUGAGACUUUGAAGACUAGCUUUAGGUGACUCUUUCAAUGUAGAGGGCCCAUGUUUGAUCAGGAUUACAAAGAACUGUGAUUUAAUAUUUGUGCCGACUAAAAAAGAUGCAUAACAUGAGAGCUGCAGGUUAAGUUUUAUUUGGAACGAUUUCUCAGAGCUGUCAAUAUGGUAAUUUUCAAACCAAGCUAAAAACCAUGAUUCUCAUACAAAUAUAAAUGAAUAUAUGUUAAUAAUAAUAAAUAUAAAUGAAUAUAUGAAUGUAUGUCUUUAGCUCAUUAUUAAUGAGAGCUGGUGAAAUGUCACAACCUGUUCAAAUGAGAAGUCAAACACAAAUAUGUAUGGAGUAAAGGAAUGUUGAAAUAUGUUUACAAAUAGAUGGAAAUUGGCUUUUUUUCCUCUGGGGAAUUGAGAGGGAAGUCAAUUGAACUUCCAUAGGGCAGAUUUUAUUUGUAUGUCCAUAAACAAGACUUAUUUGCAUUGCUAUCACUUACCUCCAAUUUACAGAGUUGUAAAAUAGCUCAGAGGCCGUGAAAGGGCCCAUAGCAUCACAGUCAGGUAACCUGGAAGAGGGUGCUCUAAACGAUACAUAGUUUUCCACUGAAGCACAUUUUUUUCCCCCCUAUACAAUAGUUAUAAAGCACUUGUUAUUUGCAAGAAGUUAUUGAAUACAUUGGAAUGGAUAGUCUACUUAGGGAUUUAAGGCACAAAACCCUGAGCUAUAUCUUUUCUGCAUUCUGAUCUGUGACAUGUUGACUAUAGUUCCUCCAAGUGACACACAAUAUUUACAAAUUGGGCUCAUCAUAAAGUUUCCCCCUGGGGAAAAACAAAAGCUUCCGCUGCUCUAAAAAAAAAAAGUUUGAAAACAUGGACCCUUGUCCAACGACUGCACUUUUAUCGAAGAGAAAGUUAAGGUUCAGAGAACGGAAGUGACCUGCUCUAGGGCACAGAACUUAUUAACAGACCUUUGGUUGGAAGAUGGGGUUUGAGGAUCAAGAAGUGUUCCUUUUGUCAUUAGUCAGGGACACAGAGAACUCUCCUGGAAGGAAGGACUUAGGAAGUGGGCUGUGACAGAUGGUUUUCAUCUCCUGUGCUCUGGGAAAUCUGCUACCAUCCAUCUAAUUGGAUGGUGGGAGCUUCAAGCAGACUUGCAACCUGUGUUAUAUCAUUGUUUCGAAUCCCUAAUUAUACCUUGGAAUUUGGCUUAAGUGCAGCUUAGAGGAUGUUCAUUAACAGUGUCGACAGGGACACUCAGCAUUUGUAAAAUUCCUUACAGUAAUCGAAGUCUCAACGUUGUUCUGGUGCAUUAAGGAAGCAUGUUCUCUCCCAGCUGAAAGAUGACUUAAGUUCAGAGGAUGGAGACUGGCUGACCCCGAGUUGUUUUUCUAACGUUCCCACUUUGAAUUCAGAGCUUUACAAUCCUUGCUUUCAUGAGCCCAAGGAAGCUCCUUGCUGAAUUACAUCCAGGGCUGAAUUCGCCAAAGUUGGAGUGAUCUGCCCUUGGCAUUUUCUAACCAAUCUCAGUUUCCUCUCUCUUGGCCAUCGUGUUGUCAAAAAACCUCAUAUUCUUGUUUGCCCGACCAGUUUAUAGAGGAGCUUUGUCUCCACACAGACCGUGGUUCCAUCUGGCCCUGCCACCGAGAGCCUUGUGAUUCCAGAUGGAAAAAUCCCCAUCCAUCCCCCAGUUUCCAAAGUGGCCCCCCCCCCCCCGGAUUGUUUUAUCUACAGCCAGCAGCACAGAGCCUCCACAAACAGCCUCUGCAGGGGUGGAAAGAGCCACUAAUGAGGAAAACAGCUUUCUUCCAUCCUCAAACCCUGUGAAUGGAAAAAUUCACACAGCUGGCUGCAUUGGUUGACACGAAGUGUUUUAGGAUAAAGAAGCUGGGGAGGGCUUGCCUUUAUCAAUGUUGUUAGGAAAAGGUCUACUGGUAAGAAUAGCAGUAAUGCCAAGGAAAAUUAUAACUUUUCAUCAUGACUGUAGCUAUUCAACCAUGUGAACUCUUUUUUCCCCCCUCUCUUCAAAAGAUAUCUUUAAGGAACCCUAAGCAUUUAGCUGGAGUCUUUUGGUGGUGACCAGUUAUCUCCAUGUGUGUGUGUUUGGGAGAAUAAAAAAGAAAUGACCCGGUUUUCUUUUGACACCCUUCUCUCUCAUCCACCAACCGAGAAAGAAAGAGGGAGAGAGGAGGAGGAGGGCAGAGGAGAAGUGAUCUGAAUUUGAGGACCAAAAUUCCAGCCACCCAGAGAAUGUCUGGGUUCUCCCCUUCUCCUUUCCUUCCUUCUCUGUCUCACCACCUCCCCUGGAGGCAUCUGGGACCUCACUCUCACCACUUAUUUCCUCCCCUCUCUGCUGCAAGGGAGUCCAGAUCUUUGGUAAUCUGUUGAUCAUGUUGCAGUUUAUCUGAGCCCUGCCAGAGGGCUGGAGAGCUAGGACAGUAGAGAAAUUGCCAAGGAUAACCCUGCCUUCACAGAUUCAGCCUAUUUCCAUCCCACCCUUCAGAUGAGACCCACCCCACUCCAGAUGAGAUCCAUCCUACCCUUCAGAUGAGACCUGUUGUCCACUGUCCUCCCCACUCUCUCACCUUUAUAAAACCCCAGGCCCUUCUGCCUUUUCUCUUCGAUGUCCUUCUGCCUUCAUGAAUGACCUCCCUCUUGUAAGAGCCUGAAUAAGAUCACCUCCUUCAUUAUCCAGUGCGUUUCUUUCAGACUGUGCUGCCCAUCCUGGGAGUCUAAAAUAGAACCAUAAGCACAUUUGGAGUUAAGAAGGGGAGUGACCCUAGCUGGUCUUGGGAAAGACAUGAACAUCACCCAGUUAAUGGACUGGAGCUCCCUGAUUUUCCUCUGGGAAACCACUGCUUCCCACCCCAGCUCCAAUGGAAGGAGAUGUGAAUGAAUUACUGUUGAUCACCAGCUGACCUACCGACCACAGUGACUGGCUGAGGGAUGGGCACGUGACUCCAGUUCAUCCCAAAGACUCAUUUUUGUGGGUUUGAUUUGAUUUCUAACAACCUUCAAAAAAGAACCUCUUUUGGCUUGUGUUCUGAAUGUUAUCUCCUCUAAUCCUUGGUGAUUUUGUCCUGCGUGAUUAUCUCCAUUAUAAAGACUGUUAGUGUGAGGUUUUUCUGCUUUUGAAGGUGGUUUUCGUAUGCAGGGAAUAGUUAUG